rnacentral:rRNA from 1 species
AGAUUGAACGCUGGCGGCAUGCCUUACACAUGCAAGUCGAACGGCAGCACGGGAGCAAUCCUGGUGGCGAGUGGCGAACGGGUGAGUAAUACAUCGGAACGUGCCCAAUCGUGGGGGAUAACGCAGCGAAAGCUGUGCUAAUACCGCAUAAGAUCUACGGAUGAAAGCAGGGGAUCGCAAGACCUUGCGCGAAUGGAGCGGCCGAUGGCAGAUUAGGUAGUUGGUGAGGUAAAGGCUCACCAAGCCUUCGAUCUGUAGCUGGUCUGAGAGGACGACCAGCCACACUGGGACUGAGACACGGCCAGACUCGUACGGGAGGCAGCGAGUAGGGAAUUUGGACAAGUGGGCGAAAGCUGA